rnacentral:ncRNA from 1 species
AGUUGUAUAGGCGAUGGAGUUCGCCGUAACCGCUGACUGACAGCUAAUGACUCCUACCGGACG